rnacentral:rRNA from 1 species
UAGGCUGAAACUCGCCUACAUGAAGCUGGAGUUACUAGUAAUCGCAGAUCAGAAUGCUGCGGUGAAUGCGUUCCCGGGUCUUGUACACACCGCCCGUCACACCACGGAAGUUGGGGCGCCCGAAGCCACUUAGCUAACCCAUUUGGGAAGCGAGUGUCGAAGGUGAAAUCAAUAACUGGGGUGAAGUCGUAACAAGGUAGC